AUUGAACGCUGGCGGCAGGCCUAACACAUGCAAGUCGAACGGUAACAGGAAGCAGCUUGCUGCUUCGCUGACGAGUGGCGGACGGGUGAGUAAUGUCUGGGAAACUGCCUGAUGGAGGGGGAUAACUACUGGAAACGGUAGCUAAUACCGCAUAACGUCGCAAGACCAAAGAGGGGGACCUUCGGGCCUCUUGCCAUCGGAUGUGCCCAGAUGGGAUUAGCUAGUAGGUGGGGUAACGGCUCACCUAGGCGACGAUCCCUAGCUGGUCUGAGAGGAUGACCAGCCACACUGGAACUGAGACACGGUCCAGACUCCUACGGGAGGCAGCAGUGGGGAAUAUUGCACAAUGGGCGCAGGCCUGAU
rnacentral:rRNA from 1 species